UGCCAGUCAAGCGGACAGAUGGGAGCUUGCUCCCUGAUGUUAGCGGCGGAGGGUGAGUAACACGUGGGUAACCUGCCUGUAAGACUGGGAUAACUCCGGGAAACCGGGGCUAAUACCGGAUGCUUGUUUGAACCGCAUGGUUCAGACAUAAAAGGUGGCUUCGGCUACCACUUACAGAUGGACCCGCGGCGCAUUAGCUAGUUGGUGAGGUAACGGCUCACCAAGGCAACGAUGCGUAGCCGACCUGAGAGGGUGAUCGGCCACACUGGGACUGAGACACGGCCCAGACUCCUACGGGAGGCAGCAGUAGGGAAUCUUCCGCAAUGGACGAAAGUCUGACGGAGCAACGCCGCGUGAGUGAUGAAGGUUUUCGGAUCGUAAAGCUCUGUUGUUAGGGAAGAACAAGUGCCGUUCAAAUAGGGCGGCACCUUGACGGUACCUAACCAGAAAGCCACGGCUAACUACGUGCCAGCAGCCGCGGUAAUACGUAGGUGGCAAGCGUUGUCCGGAAUUAUUGGGCGUAAAGGGCUCGCAGGCGGUUUCUUAAGUCUGAUGUGAAAGCCCCCGGCUCAACCGGGGAGGGUCAUUGGAAACUGGGGAACUUGAGUGCAGAAGAGGAGAGUGGAAUUCCACGUGUAGCGGUGAAAUGCGUAGAGAUGUGGAGGAACACCAGUGGCGAAGGCGACUCUCUGGUCUGUAACUGACGCUGAGGAGCGAAAGCGUGGGGAGCGAACAGGAUUAGAUACCCUGGUAGUCCACGCCGUAAACGAUGAGUGCUAAGUGUUAGGGGGUUUCCGCCCCUUAGUGCUGCAGCUAACGCAUUAAGCACUCCGCCUGGGGAGUACGGUCGCAAGACUGAAACUCAAAGGAAUUGACGGGGGCCCGCACAAGCGGUGGAGCAUGUGGUUAAUUCGAAGCAACGCGAGAACCUUACCAGGUCUGACAUCCUCUGACAUCCUAGAGAUAGGACGUCCCUUCGGGGGAGUGACAGGUGGUGCAUGGUGUCGUCAGCUCGUGUCGUGAGAUGUUGGGUUAAGUCCCGCACGAGCGCAACCCU
rnacentral:rRNA from 1 species